rnacentral:rRNA from 1 species
GACGAACGCUGGCGGCGUGCUUAACACAUGCAAGUCGAACGGAAAGGCCCUGCUUUUGUGGGGUGCUCGAGUGGCGAACGGGUGAGUAACACGUGAGUAACCUGCCCUUGACUUUGGGAUAACUUAAGGAAACUGGGGCUAAUACCGGAUAGGAGCUCCUGCUGCAUGGUGGGGGUUGGAAAGUUUCGGCGGUUGGGGAUGGACUCGCGGCUUAUCAGCUUGUUGGUGGGGUAGUGGCUUACCAAGGCUUGGACGGGUAGCUGGCCUGAGAGGGUGACCGGCCACAUUGGGACUGAGAUACGGCCCAGACUCAUACGGGAGGCAGCAGUGGGGAAUAUUUCACAAUGGGCGGAAGCAUGACGCAGCAACGCCGCGUGCGGGAUGACGGCCUUCGGGUUGUAAACCGCUUUCGCUUGUGACGAAGCGUGAGUGACGGUAAUGGGUAAAGAAGCACCGCCUAACUACGU